rnacentral:rRNA from 1 species
UACGGAGGGGGCAGGCGUUAUCCGGAUUCACUGGGCUUAAAGGGUGCGUAGGCGGGCAGGUAAGUCCGUGGUGAAAUCUCUGAGCUUAACUCAGAAACUGCCAUGGAUACUAUUUGUCUUGAAUGUUGUGGAGGUAAGCGGAAUAUGUCAUGUAGCGGUGAAAUGCUUAGAUAUGACAUAGAACACCAAUUGCGAAGGCAGCUUACUACACAAAUAUUGACGCUGAGGCACGAAAGCGUGGGGAUCAAACAGG